CCCAGAGUUAGUCAAUUUGGACCCGCCUCCAGGGGCGGGCCGAGGAAUGAAGCUCCUGCUCCCGCACAGCGGAGCCCCGCCCCGGGCGAUGACGGCGGCUGCGAGGCUGACGCCGCCGCGGUCCUAGUGCGCUCAGAGUAGGCUGCGUCGGCGGCCCGCCGGGUCUUCCAGCGCGUCUGCCGAGGUUAGCAAUGCACCUUCACCGGUCUGAUAAAGUACAGCGCCGCGAGCUGUGGUUCUCGACUUAUAACGUGAACAUAAUUGCCUAGAGGGCAUGUUGAAGAGACGGACCAGCCCCACGGCAAAGCGGCAGUCCUGGGUGGGGCUGAAGACUUGCAUUUCUAAGUUUUUUCUAAGCAAUACUGAAAAUUCUGGUUUCAGAACUAGGGCUGAGCAUCUAGAGCUGGGGUCGGCAAAUGUUUUCUACCAAGCUUCUGGUAGACCCAGGCGUUCCUGGCUUGCAGUUGCAACAUUAACUCCACUCUGCCUGUCAUCACAUGGCCGCCUUCCCUUUGUGUGUGUCUUUCCCUUUUAUUUACAAAGACACCAGUCAUAUUGGAUUAGGACCCACCCUACUCCAGUAGGAGCUCCCGUUAACUGAUAACAUCUCCAAAGACCCUAUUUCCCAACAAGAUCACAUUCACAGAA